rnacentral:lncRNA from 1 species
CCAGGCCCCUCACCAGGAUCUAACACCGGAUCACCCGUCACCGUCCGGGUCCCAGGCCCCUCACCAGGAUCUAACACCGGAUCACCAGUCACCAUCCGGGUCCCAGGCCCCUCACGAGGAUCUAACGCCUGAUGAUUCGUCACCAUCCGGGUCCCAGGCCCCUCACGAGGAUCUGACGCGUGAUGACCCAUCACUGUCCGGGUCCCAGACUCCUCACGAGGAGCUAACACCUGAUUACCCGUCACCGUCCGGGUCCCAGGCCCCUCAUGAUGAUCUGACGCCUGAUGACCCGUCACCGUCGCCCAUCACCCCCAGAUGGGACCAUCUAGUUUCAGGAGACCAAGCUCAGGACUCCCACUGAUUCUACAUGAUGGUAGAACACCAGAUAAAGACACAAAGAAGGUACCACACGGCCUGGAGGUCAGCGUUCAUAAGAGGUUGCCCUCACAUCCUGGUGCUUCCUGCAAGUCUGAAGGGAGGACCACCCAGCUGUGAUUGACAUAAUAAAGAAAUGUUUUGCUACAUCUCAUGAUGCAUGUUGAUAUUAAGUAGAAAAGUUAAUCGAUUCUGCGAGGUCCCAUGAGAAAACAGAGAGACUACAGUGCAUGUAGGAACUUUGUUAUAUUUUGUUAUGUUUUUAUCCAAGCAGCCAGCGUGUUACACUGUGAUAAAGGGUAAAUACAGGAGAGGUGCAACACUAAGGAUGUCUUUCAGACAGUACACAUUACGGAGUUCAUUAGAGUGCGGUCAUUGUUGACCUAGUUUGAGUUAUUCUAAGUCUUCAGAUUAAUGUCUUCAAGAGUCUCCUGAAGUUAAAAGUUCAGGAAUGUCCUUUGAGGGGAAGAGUUGGAGAGUUUCAGGAUGUGACUGUAACACAAUUAUGGUCCAUACUUGAGCAGGAUACUACGCCCCUGAUCUCCCAGAUUAAUGUCCCUAAAUCAUAGAGGUGUCUUUAAAACAUUAUUGUGUGUGAAUAGAGAUUACUAGUGAUUUUAUUAAACUAAGCUAUAUAUGUUUAAUGCAGUAUGUUUGAAGUUUUG